AAAGGAGGGAAAGGUAAUGGAGGCAGUGGAGGAAAUUGGGGCAGAGGAUAUGGCCAAGGGAAAGGUGGGAAGUAAGGGAGAAAGCAUUUUGAGGAAUUGAAGGAACUUAGCAACUCUUCUUCAUUGUGAUUUCCACACAAGGCUGGAGUUGAGCUGCUUAUCAAACUUGCUUGGCAAACAGAUUCAAUUGCUGAACCAUCUACACAAUCAACCCCAUCAACAUGUGGUACUUCUAGCUUGUAUGUUCCAUAUCUAUCUGUCGUCCUGUUAACGGAGAUGUUUAUUUGCUCUGCUGUUUUUGGUGCAUUGGCUUUGAAUGUGCAUUGUAUUUGAACAUCCACACCUGAAAUCAAUAGCCAUUUACAAGUUAAAGAUAUUAAAAAAGAAUAAACACUUAUACACAACAAUUCAACCCUUAUUGCUCCCUUCUUUGUUAAUAAAACAGAAUGAAGAGAUAUUGCAAAUGAGUUGUUCUUUACCUGGCAAGAAGUAGCUGUGUCUAGAGAAACUGUUGGUUGAACAAGUAUCACAGUAAACAACACCAACAACACUAAUGCUAGAUGAUAUGUGAUUUGCAUGUUUAGCUAGGAGGGAAAAUGGAUGAGCAAGAAAAGUUGCAAGAAGAAAAAGAAAAAUGAUUGGAGCCAUGGCAGCAAACAUAGGAGAAGUAGAAAGAAGCUUCUAUAAAAGCAUCAUCUACACUAUAGUUAUGGCUAGUAGUCUAUUACAAAAUGCAUAUCAAAGCUAGAUUUUAUUAUUCUAAUAAUUCUUGAAAUAUGCAAAUAAUGAACCCGUGAGUAGUUGGUGUUAGGACCAACUGUAAUCAGAGUGCAGGAAAAAAAAUUCUUUAUCAAUUCACUACAAACAAAGACAUGUGAAGAACCCUUUUGGAUGGUUGUGAAGAGCAAAUAGCUUGAAAACUCUGUAGUAGAUUGACAGAUAGUGGGGAAUUGGGGAUAUCAGGCUCUACAGUUUUCUUAUUUUUAAGGUCCACGAAAUGAAAAUGACAACUUUGCUCCAAGGGAAAGAUUGAAUUUUUUUUCUUUCUUUGGCUGCCUUUUUGGCUUGCUUUAUGACUCACCAUUGUCAUUAUUGUCUCUUGUUCCUUUUGCGUAUAUAUGGCUACAAAUUCAUGGCAACUAAAUGACAGUCACAAGGCUAUUUCUUUUUCCCUUUAUCAUGCGCUCUUCCUUUAACCAACAUAUUUUGUUCUUUUUACAUCCUGCAGUCAAAACCCAACUUUUGUUGUAAAUUUACUUGGCAUAUGUUAAUAAUUGGGAAGUUUCAGGAAUUGUGAGACAGGGGUAGACUUGGAGAGAAAGAGGUCCUCUUGUGGUGUUAGAAACACUUGUACUUUGUGUACCACUUGAGCAAUUAGGAACAUGUAUCUUUUUUGUACCCGAAGAAGUUCUGGACUAGUUGCUACUUCAAGAUGAAAAUUACAAUCAAAAGCACCAUGUGAAGGAUAAUUUUCUGCAGUAUAUGUAGAAUUUAUGUCGCACAUUGUGAGUGAUGUUAAUAAGGAUCUAUCAUCUGAAAGGGGACCCAUUUAGAUA